rnacentral:rRNA from 1 species
GACGAACGCUGGCGGCGUGCUUAACACAUGCAAGUCGAACGGAAAGGCCCUGCUUUUGUGGGGUGCUCGAGUGGCGAACGGGUGAGUAACACGUGAGUAACCUGCCCUUGACUUUGGGAUAACUUCAGGAAACUGGGGCUAAUACCGGAUAGGAGCUCCUGCUGCAUGGUGGGGGUUGGAAAGUUUCGGCUGUUGGGGAUGGACUCGCGGCUUAUCAGCUUGUUGGUGGGGUAGUGGCUUACCAAGGCUUUGACGGGUAGCCGGCCUGAGAGGGUGACCGGCCACAUGGGGACUGAGAGACGGCCCAGACUCCUACGGGAGGCAGCAGUGGGGAAUAUUGCACAAUGGGCGGAAGCCUGAUGCAGCAACGCCGCGUGCGGGAUGACGGCCUUCGGGUUGUAAACCGCUUUCGCCUGUGACGAAGCGUGAGUGACGGUAAUGGGUAAAGAAGCACCGGCUAACUACGUG